GAUGAACGCUAGCUACAGGCUUAACACAUGCAAGUCGAGGGGAAACGACAUCGAAAGCUUGCUUUUGAUGGGCGUCGACCGGCGCACGGGUGAGUAACGCGUAUCCAACCUGCCCAUCACUUGGGAAUAACCUUGCGAAAGUAAGACUAAUACCCAAUGAUAUCCCACGAAGGCAUCGGAAUGAGAUUAAAGAUUUAUCGGUGAUGGAUGGGGAUGCGUCUGAUUAGCUUGUUGGCGGGGUAACGGCCCACCAAGGCAACGAUCAGUAGGGGUUCUGAGAGGAAGGUACCCCACAUUGGAACUGAGACACGGUCCAAACUCCUACGGGAGGCAGCAGUGAGGAAUAUUGGUCAAUGGGCGAGAGCCUGAACCAGCCAAGUAGCGUGCAGGAAGACGGCCCUAUGGGUUGUAAACUGCUUUUAUAAGGGAAUAAAGUGGGUCACGUGUGACUUUUUGCAUGUACCUUAUGAAUAAGGACCGGCUAAUUCCGUG
rnacentral:rRNA from 1 species